GACAGAGGUGCCGAGCGUUAGGCGGAAUCACUGGGCUUAAAGCGUGUGUAGGCGGCCCGUUAAGUGCCUCGUGAAAUCCCCCGGCUCAACCGGGGAACUGCCGGGCAUACUGGCGGGCUUGGGUCGCUCAGGGGCAGACGGAACAGGCGGUGGAGCGGUGAAAUGCGUAGAGAUCGGAAAGAACACCAACGGCGAAAGCACUCUGCUGGGCCGACACUGACACUGAGAGACGAAAGCUAGGGGAGCGAAUGGG
rnacentral:rRNA from 1 species